rnacentral:lncRNA from 1 species
AUCAUUUGGAAUUAGGAAGUUGCUUGUGGCGUGCAUGAAAUGUUUUUGCUGGAUUUGGUUUCUGCUUGAUAGGCAAGGGAACAAGCAACAUCCACACGAUUGCAACCUGUGUUUGUGUUUGGAUCCUAGCAUAACAAAACUUGGUGCUUAUAGACAUUUAGCUUUUACGGCCAACCACUAAUAAGACAGAUUGUGAUUUAAAACUUAUAUCCCCUGUCCAGAAUGAAAGCUGAACGAGAUAGGAUUUGACAACUUAUAUUGAAAAAUUAAGAUUUACUAACUCCUCUGACACAUGGACUUGCAGAUGGAGCAAUCUCUCCACUGUGGCAGUUAAAGCCUCAGAAUGGAUUACACAUGUCUGGUUAGAAGAACUCUCAACAGUUUUGCAAGGAUCCUUUACUUCAAAGGGGACAAAAGGAAGAAGAAAUGAGAGCAACCGAACAUGGCCUUCAUGUGGAUCAGCUCCUAGUAACAGAAGCAAUGUGGGAUUGCUGAACUGUCAGUGGCCUAAGCAACAACACUAGCUCAUAGAAAAACUCUUGAGUCGUAUAGUGGAAAAUAAAUACAAAAACUGCUAAGAUGCUGUCAAUGAGCAGGAGCAGAGCUUUUGUUUAGACAGAGAAGGGAACUGCAGAGAAAACCAGCUUUUUUAACCUGAAUAUGCAGCGCUUCUUGCACAUGGAGAGGGGAAGCAGAGACUGGGAACAAGUCUGAAGUGGAGCCACACAAUGCCUGGUGUCAAAGCAAGAAGUGGGGUGGAUCUCCGCAAAAAGCGAGACCUGAGUUGAUGACAGAGCCUCUGACAAGAAAGGUAGCAAAGAAAUCACAGAAAUAUUCAGAGAAACUUCUAGCUUGCACAAAUUCACAGGAAAGAUCAACUGUCCAUUGGCAAAAGUAUAUAUAAUUAUGGCACUAAAAUGAAGUUGUUUUAAUCUUCACAAUAAUUAUCAACAUGUACAGCAGCUACUAUAAGAAAAAUAAUUGCUAACAUAAGAAAGGAACAGCUUGUUCACUUUUUUUUUUUUUUUUCCUCUUGAAUAACAUUUUGCUAUUUGCCUGUUGCCCAAAAACUUGUUUGGGAUCAUUAAAUAUAUAAGGGGAUCAGAUAUCUAUAUUUUACCUUUAUGUCAAAUAUUUACAUGUCAUACGUAGGACCUCACCAAGGAGUUGUUGUGAUUAGUUGCCAAGAAGCAUCAAGAAUCAAAUACAAUUGUUAAUGUUUAAGGGUUUUCCUGUUUAUUUCUACAAACAUACAGGAUAAACACUGUCAGCUCAAAGUAAACUAUAGAGUACACUUCUUUUUUUUCCAAAACUAAUACCCUAUAAAAGCCUCAAAUAGUUGAAAACUACAUUUAAACCAAUUCAUUGUGGUGACUAGUACCAUGUGUGAAGACUCAAAGAAGUUUCACAACCCAAAGACUCUGCUAACUAGUUAAAAUUAUCAUUAAAAAGUUACCCAUGGUUUUGACCUAAGAUGAUGAAGAUCAUCCUAAAACACAUCAAGAAAAGUUGUCAACAUUUGGGUCUGAUCAACAUAAAUAAAACAGAUACAGGAUAUAUUUUUAAGAAACAAGACCUUCAGCUUAUAUUAAAUAAAAAAAGGAAAGAAAGGAAAGCAACACGUGUACAGUAUCAUAAAAUCUAAGCCAUCGCACCAGGGAUUAAAUUUUGAGUGACAUUCAAAAGAUUUUCAUUAAAGCAUCCAUUUGUUUCAGUCAUUUGAGAACUAUUUAGUCACUUAACUCUCCCAGCUGAAUUUUUUUUGAAUGCCAAUUGACAGAGGAAAUUCAUUCCAACUAAAGAUAAAUCCCUACUUUCUCUGCCAAGAGUUUUCUUGCCAUCGACAAUUAUUGGUCUAGAGGGGACUUUUUCCUUCUUCUGGAAAUUCAGCUCCUUCUAAGAAACCUAUGUAAAAUUAAGUACUUCAUUAAACUGACAAUCUGGUAAGUCUACCUUGGUGCUUUGUUUCUUCUAAAGCAAAGCUAAAGAACAUAUGAAAUGGAGGAAAAAUUCAUAUAUAGAGCUCCGUAAAUAAUUUGCUUUAUUUUCUAUUCAGUAGCUAGAAUGGUAAAAUGGGAGAAAAGAAUAAAAGAAAAAAUGAUUUAUGUC